ACCGUUAGCUGUCUUGGCAUGAAGCUGGACUGGCAGUGCAUUUGUGCACUCAGACAUGACGAGCUAGGCUAAGUUGCAGUGUGGAUUAUUGGUGACAGCUAUGUCCAGCAUAGUGGCCAGAGAGCUGCAGAGAGCUUAGGAAGCAUCUUCACCCUGCUGGACGUCUCUUGGUCUGGCUGGCUUCUCCCCUUCUUUUCCCCUCUCUGCAAAGAAUGGACACGGUGCUGGAUGUCCUCGUCAUCCACUGUGGCGGCAAAUUUAAAAAAAAUUAUUUUGACAAUGAUUCUGUCCAUGACUUUAAUUAACGGUCAAUAAAAGCCAGAAGCUCUGAUUUCCGGUUUAGUGACAAAAAAUUCUCCUGGCCUGUUUGAUUGUGGGGAAUGACAGCUUGUCCUCUGCCAUGGCCCUCCCUGGUUCUCUGAGCGGCGGGACGGCACCAUCUCAUCUCUCCCACUGUGAUUUGUGCGUCCGAUCACAGAGGCAACCACUUUUACAGCUGCUAUAUUGUCAGGGCUAAGCGGGAUGUGGCGUGUGGAGCCACUGCUGUGUGUAUUUCUUUGUGUGUGUGUGUGGGGGGGUUGUGUAGCUAUCUAUGAAAGGAAGACAUUAAUUUGCUGUAUCAUUUCAUGCUGAGACAGUCACCGCCCCUCCACACACAAACUUUUUUUUCUGCUCUGAAGCUAUAGCUCUAUAGCUGGCCUGUCUGCCAUAAUGAACAGCUCGUGUUGGAGAACUGAAUCUAAACCAGGGCCAUAUUGCAUAUUUCUGUACAUGAGAGGAGGGGGGCUGAGAGAGAAACACAUCAAUAAAGAUGACACCGUUUAAGAGGCAGACAACCUUUACAAAAGAGCGCCGGGUUUAAUGGGCUGGCCGCGUGGCUCAUAAACCACAACCGCAUAUGACUGCAACAGAGACCGAGAACCAGCUUUACUCAAGGCUGCUGAAGAGAAAUGUAACCACUCUGGAUGCAAAGACCGGUCUUCUUGCAUGAGUCAGCCAGUUAGUCACAACUGCAAGAAAUCACACAAUCUAGACCCAAGGAAUGUAGACCGAUCAACCAGAUUGAGGUAGCGAUGUAUCAGGUGUAUACUGUGCUGUGGAGCGAACACCAACAGCUAAUAACCACAAUACCACAGUGCUAAAGUUGCACACAUUUCCCAGGGCCAAAGUGUUAGCAUCAUGACAGCAAUUUUUAGUGUUUCAUUACUUGUUUUCUGCUUUUGUGGCUACAAGCAUGUCCCGUAAUGAUGAUCAAUCAAGGAAACUGAUAAUAAAGUCAAGCACUGCACUGUA